rnacentral:rRNA from 1 species
CCUACGCGAGGCAGCAGUGGGGAAUAUUUCACAAUGGGGGAAACCCUGAUGCAGCAACGCCGCGUGAAGGAAGACGGUUUUCGGAUAGUAAACUUCUGUUCUUAGUGAAGAAGAAUGACGGUAGCUAAGGAGCAAGCCACGGCUAACUACGUGCCAGCAGCCGCGGUAAUACGUAGGGGGCAAGCGGUGUCCGGAAUUACUGGGUGUAAAGGGAGAGUAGGCGGGAAGCUAAGUCCGCUGUGAAAACAACGGGCUUAACGUGUAGACUGCAGUUGAAACUGGUUUUCUUGAGUGAAGUAGAGGUUGGCGGAAUUCCGAGUGUAGCGGUGAAAUGCGUAGAUAUUCGGAGGAACACCAGUGGCGAAGGCGGCCAACUGGGCUUUAACUGACGCUGAGGCUCGAAAGUGUGGGGAGCAAACAGGAUUAGAUACCCUAGUAGUC